rnacentral:lncRNA from 1 species
CCCACACUCAGUGAGAGGGAUUACAUGAAUGUGUGACCACCAGGAGAUGGUAACAAUUGGGGUCAUGAGGGGAUAUGACUGCUACAAUCUCCCAUCAUCAAAAACAAAAACAGGAAUCUACACUCGGCUGGGAAGUGAGAGACUCAAAACAACGUGAGAAGUAGAAAGCGGGCAAGUUUGUUGGGGCCAUAUGUAACUUCAUGAAUAUCACUGUUUCAAG